rnacentral:rRNA from 1 species
CCUACGGGAGGCAGCAGUGGGGAAUUUUGGACAAUGGGCGAAAGCCUGAUCCAGCCAUGCCGCGUGCAGGAUGAAGGCCUUCGGGUUGUAAACUGCUUUUGUACGGAACGAAAAGACUCUGGUUAAUACCUGGGGUCCAUGACGGUACCGUAAGAAUAAGCACCGGCUAACUACGUGCCAGCAGCCGCGGUAAUACGUAGGGUGCAAGCGUUAAUCGGAAUUACUGGGCGUAAAGCGUGCGCAGGCGGUUAUAUAAGACAGAUGUGAAAUCCCCGGGCUCAACCUGGGAACUGCAUUUGUGACUGUAUAGCUAGAGUACGGUAGAGGGGGAUGGAAUUCCGCGUGUAGCAGUGAAAUGCGUAGAUAUGCGGAGGAACACCGAUGGCGAAGGCAAUCCCCUGGACCUGUACUGACGCUCAUGCACGAAAGCGUGGGGAGCAAACAGGAUUAGAUACCCUGGUAGUCCACGCCCUAAACGAUGUCAACUGGUUGUUGGGUCUUCACUGACUCAGUAACGAAGCUAACGCGUGAAGUUGACCGCCUGGGGAGUACGGCCGCAAGGUUGAAACUUAAAGGAAUUGACGG